UACCAUGGUCGGACCUGGAGCCUCACAUUCAACAUGUGGUCUCUUCUGGUCGGUCUGUUGGUG
rnacentral:miRNA from 1 species